CAGCCGCCGCGGUAAUACGUAGGGGGCGAGCGUUGUCCGGAAUUAUUGGGCGUAAAGCGCGCGCAGGCGGUCCUUUAAGUCUGAUGUGAAAGCCCACGGCUCAACCGUGGAGGGUCGUUGGAAACUGGGGGACUUGAGUGCAGGAGAGGAGAGCGGAAUUCCACGUGUAGCGGUGAAAUGCGUAGAGAUGUGGAGGAACACCAGUGGCGAAGGCGGCUCUCUGGCCUGUAACUGACGCUGAGGCGCGAAAGCGUGGGGAGCAAACAGGAUUAGAUACCCUGGUAGUCCACGCCGUAAACGAUGAGUGCUAAGUGUUAGAGGGGUCACACCCUUUAGUGCUGCAGCUAACGCGAUAAGCACUCCGCCUGGGGAGUACGGCCGCAAGGCUGAAACUUAAAGGAAUUGGCUGG
rnacentral:rRNA from 1 species